GCCUGCUCUUGCAAUACAUGACAAUUUCUGUUAUUCUAAAAAAGAAUUAUUUUUGUUCGUUACGAUAACUUUCCGUUUGGAUGAUUUGAGCAAGGAUAGUAACACGAUAUGUGCAUGGCGCACGAGGAGGAAAUACACAUGGAACAAGGUAAAGUAAAAUGGUUUAAUGCAGAAAAAGGUUUUGGUUUCAUCGAACGCGAAGCAGGAGACGACGUAUUCGUUCAUUUCUCUGCUAUUCAAGGUGAAGGCUACAAAUCAUUAGACGAAGGUCAAGCAGUGACUUUCGAAGUUGAAGAUGGCCAACGUGGACCACAAGCAACUAACGUACAAAAAGCAUAAUUUAAACUAACAUAUAUUUACAGACUCUCACAUGAGAGUCUUUUUUUA
rnacentral:sRNA from 1 species